rnacentral:rRNA from 1 species
UACGUAGGGUGCGAGCGUUAAUCGGAAUCACUGGGCGUAAAGCGCGCGUAGGCGGUCCGUUAAGUGGGAUAUGAAAUCCCCGGGCUUAACCUGGGAAUUGCAUUUCAAACUGGCAGACUAGAGUGCGGUAGAGGGAGGUAGAAUUUCCUGUGUAGCGGUGAAAUGCGUAGAGAUCGGGAGGAAUACCAGUGGCGAAGGCGGCCUUCUGGACUGACACUGACGCUGAGGCGCGAAAGCCAGGGGAGCAAACGGG